UGCUUAACACAUGCAAGUCGAACGGAAAGGCCCUUCUUUUGUGGGGUGCUCGAGUGGCGAACGGGUGAGUAACACGUGAGUAACCUGCCCUUGACUUUGGGAUAACUUCAGGAAACUGGGGCUAAUACCGGAUAGGAGCUCCUGCUGCAUGGUGGGGGUUGGAAAGUUUCGGCGGUUGGGGAUGGACUCGCGGCUUAUCAGCUUGUUGGUGGGGUAGUGGCUUACCAAGGCUUUGACGGGUAGCCGGCCUGAGAGGGUGACCGGCCACAUUGGGACUGAGAUACGGCCCAGACUCCUACGGGAGGCAGCAGUGGGGAAUAUUGCACAAUGGGCGGAAGCCUGAUGCAGCAACGCCGCGUGCGGGAUGACGGCCUUCGGGUUGUAAACCGCUUUCGCCUGUGACGAAGCGUGAGUGACGGUAAUGGGUAAAGAAGCACCGGCUAACUACGUGCCAGCAGCCGCGGUGAUACGUAGGGUGCGAGCGUUGUCCGGAUUUAUUGGGCGUAAAGGGCUCGUAGGUGGUUGAUCGCGUCGGAAGUGUAAUCUUGGGGCUUAACCCUGAGCGUGCUUUCGAUACGGGUUGACUUGAGGAAGGUAGGGGAGAAUGGAAUUCCUGGUGGAGCGGUGGAAUGCGCAGAUAUCAGGAGGAACACCAGUGGCGAAGGCGGUUCUCUGGGCCUUUCCUGACGCUGAGGAGCGAAAGCGUGGGGAGCGAACAGGCUUAGAUACCCUGGUAGUCCACGCUGUAAACGGUGGGUACUAGGUGUGGGGUCCAUUCCACGGGUUCCGUGCCGUAGCUAACGCUUUAAGUACCCCGCCUGGGGAGUACGGCCGCAAGGCUAAAACUCAAAGGAAUUGACGGGGCCCCGCACAAGCGGCGGAGCAUGCGGAUUAAUUCGAUGCAACGCGUAGAACCUUACCUGGGUUUGACAUGGAUCGGGAGUGCUCAGAGAUGGGUGUGCCUCUUUUGGGGUCGGUUCACAGGUGGUGCAUGGCUGUCGUCAGCUCGUGUCGUGAGAUGUUGGGUUAAGUCCCGCAACGAGCGCAACCCUUGUUCACUGUUGCCAGCACGUUAUGGUGGGGACUCAGUGGAGACCGCCGGGGUCAACUCGGAGGAAGGUGGGGAUGACGUCAAGUCAUCAUGCCCCUUAUGUCCAGGGCUUCACGCAUGCUACAAUGGCUGGUACAGAGAGUGGCGAGCCUGUGAGGGUGAGCGAAUCUCGGAAAGCCGGUCUCAGUUCGGAUUGGGGUCUGCAACUCGACCUCAUGAAGUCGGAGUCGCUAGUAAUCGCAGAUCAGCAACGCUGCGGUGAAUACGUUCCCGGGGCUUGUACACACCGCCCGUCAAGUCAUGAAAGUUGGUAACACCCGAAGCCGGUGGCCUAACCGUUGUGGGGGAGCCGUCGAAGGUGGGACUGGUGAUUAGGACUAAGU
rnacentral:rRNA from 1 species